CCUACGGGAGGCUGCAGUGGGGAAUAUUGCACAAUGGGGGAAACCCUGAUGCAGCAACGCCGCGUGAGCGAUGAAGGCCUUCGGGUCGUAAAGCUCUGUCCUAAGGGAAGAAUACUGACGGUACCUUAGGAGGAAGCCCCGGCUAACUACGUGCCAGCAGCCGCGGUAAUACGUAGGGGGCUAGCGUUAUCCGGAAUUACUGGGCGUAAAGGGUGCGGAGGCGGCCCUUCAAGUCAGAGGUGAAAGGCUACGACUCAACCGUAGUAAGCCUUUGAAACUGUAGGGCUUGAGUGCAGGAGAGGAGAGUGGAAUUCCCAGUGUAGCGGUGAACUGCGUAGAUAUUGGGAGGAACACCAGUUUCGAAGGCGGCUCUCAGGACUGUAAAAGACGCUGAGGCACGAAAGAAUGGGGAGCGAACAGGAUUAGAGACCCCAGUAGAC
rnacentral:rRNA from 1 species